UGAGGUCCUGUUGUCCUUUGAACCAAUUGU
rnacentral:piRNA from 1 species